GUGCCCACUAGAGUUCCCCUGGGCACUUCAGUUGAUUUCUUUAGAGCUCAAAACCUCUUAGCUGUCUACUGAAGUGUUUGGGGGAACUCCGGUUGCCAU
rnacentral:pre_miRNA from 1 species